rnacentral:tRNA from 1 species
GCCUUCGUGGUGUAGUGGUCAAGCGCGCUUGACGUGUAUUCGAGAGGUUAGUGGUUCGAGUCCCGGCAAGGGCA